UCUGAGUUGGAGAGGGAUGUGGGUUUGUUUCACAGGAGGGACGGAGUUCACCUAUCUGAUAUAGGGAUUGAUCUAUGGACCUUGGGGUUGGAGGAUGGAAUCCGUAGGGCCCUGCGGGUGUGGGGUGGCCCUCGAGGAUAAGGGGUUAACCUCUCAGGCUGUGGCGGUGUCAGGUGGUCCAGGAGGUCAAAGAAAGGAACAGUUAAGACGGAAGUUGGGGGUCCAGCGGUUAUGGACCCUCUCCGUAUUCCACCGGAAUGGUGUCCGCUGGAACACGGGAAUUGGUGUACUGCGGGAUAGGGGGUGUUGCUAUGCCUUUAAGGCUGGCGGCUGGGGUUUGUCUAUGUCCCGCAGGAUAAUGGUGUAAAAUGUUAGGUGUGUUACUUCCUUGGACCACAUGUCUGUGUAUGGUUGCCAUUUUUUAUAUGGCUGUUUGAAAAAUGUAUUAUAUUUAUAAUUUAAAAUAAUGUAAAAGUUAACAAAAAUCUUAUUAUGUAAAAAUGUGUUAAUAAAAGUUACGGCUGCUAUGGCCAAUUAUUCUCCAAUCUCAGGUGUUGCCUCAGUUCUUUAAUUUAGCUUAAGAGGGGGUGGUAAGGGUUGGUGUCGUAAGGGUCCAAUUUAGGGUAUCCAGGCUACCUGAGUCAUG